AAACCAGCACCUCAAGUGGUCAGGAUGAUUAUUGGGCCUAAAGCAUCCGUAGCCUGUUCUGUAAGUUUUCGGUUAAAUCUGUAUGCUCAACAUACAGGCUGCCGGGAAUACUGCAGGACUAGGGAGUGGGAGAGGUAGACGGUACUCGGGAGGAAGUGGUAAAAUGCUUUGAUCUCUCGAUGACCACCUGUGGCGAAGGCGGUCUACCAGAACACGUCCGACGGUGAGGGAUGAAAGCUGGGGGAGCAAACCGGAUUAGAUACCCGGGUAGUCC
rnacentral:rRNA from 1 species